rnacentral:lncRNA from 12 species
CCCGGCCCCGCCCCUCCCCAAGGCCGAUGAUAAUCGGGGCCCCGCCCCUCUCGCGAGCCGCUCCGGAAGGAGCCGAGGGGGUCCGGAGGGAGAGCGCGGCCGCGCCCCCUGGUGGCCAGCGGAGCGGGCACCGGGAUUGAACCGGGAUUGAACCGGGAUUGAACCGGGAUUGAACUGGGGUUGAACCGGGAUUGAACCGGGAAUGGGGCACAGCAGCAGGAUUGAACCGGCACUGGGCACAGCAGCAGGAUUGAACUGGGCUUGUAUCAGGACUGCACCAGGAACAGGGCACAGCACCAGGACUACACCGGCAUUGCACCGGGAUUGCAGCAGGCACUGGCACUGCACCAAACACCGGGAUGGCACCGGGAACAGGACACAGCACCAGGCACGGCACCGGGCAAUGGGCACUGGGCACAGCACCGGGCAAUGGGCACUGGGCAUAGGACGGGACAUGGGGCACUGCACUGGGAUUGCACUGGGCAAUGGGCACUGGGCACAGCACGGGACAUGGGGCACUGCACUAUUGGGGGGGGGGGGGGGGGGGGGGGGGGGGGGGGGGGGGGGGGGGGGGGGGGGGGGGGGGGGGGGGGGG